rnacentral:snRNA from 1 species
GGAUGUGAGGGCUAUCUGGCUGUGAUAUCUGUCACCCCAUUGAUCGCCAGUGUUGAUUUGGCUGAUCUGGCUGGCUAGGUGAGUGUCCCCUUCCUCCUUCACUACCUCAUGUGUGUCCCUCCCGAAGCUGCACACUUGGUCGAAGAGGAUGAGCUUCCUGGAAUAGAGGAGGAUUGGGCUUUGGCCAGGUGGAUACAAGUAGCUGUGCUGCCCUGCUAGAACCCCCCAAAAUAUUUAUAUGUAUGUUUGCCUGCAUGAGUUAUGUGCACCAUGUGCAUGCAGGAGCCCACAGAGGCCAGAAUAGGGCACGGGAUCCCCU